rnacentral:rRNA from 1 species
CGGGUGAGUAACACGUAUCCAACCUGCCCUUUACUCGGGGAUAGCCUUUCGAAAGAAAGAUUAAUACCCGAUAGCAUAAUGAUUCCGCAUGGUUUCAUUAUUAAAGGAUUCCGGUAAAGGAUGGGGAUGCGUUCCAUUAGGUUGUUGGUGAGGUAACGGCUCACCAAGCCUUCGAUGGAUAGGGGUUCUGAGAGGAAGGUCCCCCACAUUGGAACUGAGACACGGUCCAAACUCCUACGGGAGGCAGCAGUGAGGAAUAUUGGUCAAUGGGCGUUAGCCUGAACCAGCCAAGUAGCGUGAAGGAUGAAGGCUCUAUGGGUCGUAAACUUCUUUUAUAUAAGAAUAAAGUGCAGUAUGUAUACUGUUUUGUAUGUAUUAUAUGAAUAAGGAUCGGCUAACUCCGUGCCAGCAGCCGCGGUAAUACGGAGGAUCCGAGCGUUAUCCGGAUUUAUUGGGUUUAAAGGGAGCGUAGGUGGGCUGGUAAGUCAGUUGUGAAAGUUUGCGGCUCAACCGUAAAAUUGCAGUUGAUACUGUCAGUCUUGAGUACAGUAGAGGUGGGCGGAAUUCGUGGUGUAGCGGUGAAAUGCUUAGAUAUCACGAAGAACUCCGAUUGCGAAGGCAGCUCACUGGACUGCAACUGACACUGAUGCUCGAAAGUGUGGGUAUCAAACAGGAUUAGAUACCCUGGUAGUCCACACAGUAAACGAUGAAUACUCGCUGUUUGCGAUAUACAGUAAGCGGCC